GUGGUAAUGCCGGAUGCUCCAUCACACCGCAUGGUGUGUUGGGAAAGCCUUUGCGGCAUGGGAUGGGGUCGCGUCCUAUCAGCUUGAUGGCGGGGUAACGGCCCACCAUGGCUUCGACGGGUAGCCGGCCUGAGAGGGCGACCGGCCACAUUGGGACUGAGAUACGGCCCAGACUCCUACGGGAGGCAGCAGUGGGGAAUAUUGCACAAUGGGCGCAAGCCUGAUGCAGCGACGCCGCGUGAGGGAUGGAGGCCUUCGGGUUGUAAACCUCUUUUGUUAGGGAGCAAGGCACUUUGUGUUGAGUGUACCUUUCGAAUAAGCACCGGCUAACUACGUGCCAGCAGCCGCGGUAAUACGUAGGGUGCAAGCGUUAUCCGGAAUUAUUGGGCGUAAAGGGCUCGUAGGCGGUUCGUCGCGUCCGGUGUGAAAGUCCAUCGCUUAACGGUGGAUCCGCGCCGGGUACGGGCGGGCUUGAGUGCGGUAGGGGAGACUGGAAUUCCCGGUGUAACGGUGGAAUGUGUAGAUAUC
rnacentral:rRNA from 1 species